AGCAGCAUGGUGUAGUGGUUUGAGCAUUGGGCUACAACUCUGGAGGCCAGGGUUUGAAUCCCUGUUCAGCCA